rnacentral:tRNA from 1 species
CCGCAGCGCACCUCGGUUCCGGGCCGGUGGUGAUCGUGCCGCCGGGCGCACUGCACCGGGUGCCGUGGGCGCUGCUGCCCGCGCUGCGGG